UGAUUUUCUGUGAGAAAAUGCAAAUUCCUGUAAGGUUGCUUUUACAUCACAUUUAUCAGUACAUUGUGUUGUUGACAAUGUAAAGCAACUUUAGGACUUCUAAACUUUCAAAAUCUUCUGCUUCAGAAGCAAACAACCCUCUGGAUAAAACCACCAUUUAAGCUCCUGUUGUGUAACUAUUUUACUCCCUUGGAGAAGAUAACAUGUUUCAGAUCACAAGAACUGCUUUAAAUUAAAUAAGAACCGAGAAAGCAGAGACUUCUUCCAAAAGAAAUAAAACUUCAAAAAACAGAUGACA
rnacentral:lncRNA from 1 species